UGCACGUUUCAAUUUCACUUCAUGGUUAAGGGUGUGGGUGUAUGUGUGUGUUGUUUAUAUUUUGUUUUAAUUCGACUCUUUAGAGUAGGUUUGGGUUGGGUGGGCCAAGAAGGAAGCUGCCAACCCCAUUUGCUUACACAUUUCUUUGCAAAAUCUUAUCUCGUAUUAUGAGAGGAUAUAUGGCAACUCUAUAAAUCCAAAUAGAAGAGAGUGUUUUUGUGUGUGUGUGUGUGUGUGUAUUGGUAGUUGAAGCAAAUACAAAACGUCGUUACCAUUCCAUGUGCAUGGCAAGGAAUGAAUUGAAUUGCCGCAGCGGCAGCUAGCUGCCUCGUUCGUAUCUGGCCGAUAUGUUUUAACUGCUAGUGCACAUGGACAGGCAACUUCAGUUAACGUGUUUAAUUGUUUAAUCGAAUAUCGCAAGUUGGCAUUAACGGUUGGCGGUGUGAAUAUUGUGGAUUUUUGCAAAUGUGUCCGCUAAAAAUAGAAUAUAUAUGAUGUCGUCGUGAAGUCGGUUAACCAUAUAUAUAAAUAGAAAAUUCAAAGCGGGAAGAGAAAAACAAUGCAAAUAGUUGAAAAAUAAUACAACCAUAACUUGGAACAAACAACCAAACAAACAAAUAUUGUGAGAGUUUAAUAUAAAAAACCAAAAAACAAAGGAAAAUAGAAAGAAAAACUAUUUUUUUGCAUAAACUUUUUUACACACAUAUUCACAUUAGCGCGUAGACAAAACCAAAAACAAAAAGAUUUAUUAACGAAAAAUCUAAUCAAACGUUAAACGAAACAAAGAAAUAAGGAAACAAUUUCUCAUACAUACAACCCACCACCACCAAACUACCAUUAUUAACCAGCAACAACUCUACUAACUAUAACAUACACUACUUUCUACUACAACUCUGUGGGCCACAUCCGCCGCAAAGAGGAUAAAUCAGCAAGAAGAAGAAGAAGAAUUCGCCAAAGACGCGCCCUUUUGAACACAGAAAAGAAUAUAAGCAUAUUUAAGCAAUCUCUUCUUAACACAUACACCUACAAGUACGCACUCUCCCACUCUCUCUCUCUCCCGUUCUAUUCUGUUCUACUCCAAGUAAUUGAAUUACAAAGAAAGUAAAACAAAAGACGGGAUCUGUAGUACGUUCGUUGUACACCCAGAGAAAAAAAAUAACGUGCUGAUUUUCCUUUUAUACCUGUACGAAGAAACCGUUAUUUAAGCUAGUAGCAGCAACAAAUUAAGCUAAAACAUAAUAGUUAGAAAACUAUCAAAACAGAAAAACAAAAAGGAGCAAUUUUUUUACAAAACUAACAACUUGAACAUAUUUGAAGAAAA
rnacentral:sRNA from 1 species